UUUUGCUUGCAAACUAAAGAUGGCGACCGGCGCACGGGUGAGUAACACGUAUCCAACCUGCCGAUAACUCGGGGAUAGCCUUUCGAAAGAAAGAUUAAUAUCCGAUAGUAUAUUAAAACCGCAUGGUUUUACUAUUAAAGAAUUUCGGUUAUCGAUGGGGAUGCGUUCCAUUAGUUUGUUGGCGGGGUAACGGCCCACCAAGACUACGAUGGAUAGGGGUUCUGGGAGGAAGGUCCCCCACAUUGGAACUGAGACACGGUCCAA
rnacentral:rRNA from 1 species